GUAAGGAAUAUUGCGCAAUGGGCGAAAGCCUGACGCAGCAACGCCGCGUGCGGGAAGAAGGGCUUCGGCUCGUAAACCGCUUUUCUGCGGGAAGAGCAAGGACGGUACCGCAGGAAUAAGUCUCGGCUAACUACGUGCCAGCAGCCGCGGUAACACGUAGGAGGCAAGCGUUAUCCGGAUUUACUGGGCGUAAAGCGCGUGCAGGCGGUUCGUUAAGUCGUGCGUGAAAGCUCCCAGGCUUAACCGGGAGAGGUCGUGCGAACCUGGCGAACUUGAGACAGACAGAGGCAAGUGGAAUUCCGGGUGUAGUGGUGAAAUGCGUAGAGAUCCGGAGGAAUACCAGUGGCGAAGGCGGCUUGCUGGGUCUGUUCUGACGCUCAGACGCGAAAGCAUGGGGAGCGAACGGGAUUAGAAACCCUAGUAGUCC
rnacentral:rRNA from 1 species